rnacentral:rRNA from 1 species
GAUUAAGUUAUUAAGGGCGCACGGUGGAUGCCUUGGCACUAGAAGCCGAUGAAGGACGUUACUAACGACGAUAUGCUUUGGGGAGCUGUAAGUAAGCUUUGAUCCAGAGAUUUCCGAAUGGGGAAACCCAGCAUGAGUUAUGUCAUGUUAUCGAUAUGUGAAUACAUAGCAUAUCAGAAGGCACACCCGGAGAACUGAAACAUCUUAGUACCCGGAGGAAGAGAAAGAAAAUUCGAUUCCCUUAGUAGCGGCGAGCGAAACGGGAAGAGCCCAAACCAACAAGCUUGCUUGUUGGGGUUGUAGGACACUCUAUACGGAGUUACAAAGGACGACAUUAGACGAAUCAUCUGGAAAGAUGAAUCAAAGAAGGUAAUAAUCCUGUAGUCGAAAAUGUUGUCUCUCUUGAGUGGAUCCUGAGUACGACGGAGCACGUGAAAUUCCGUCGGAAUCUGGGAGGACCAUCUCCUAAGGCUAAAUACUCUCUAGUGACCGAUAGUGAACCAGUACCGUGAGGGAAAGGUGAAAAGCACCCCGGAGGGGAGUGAAAUAGAACCUGAAACCGUGUGCUUACAAGUAGUCAGAGCCCGUUAAUGGGUGAUGGCGUGCCUUUUGUAGAAUGAACCGGCGAGUUACGAUUUGAUGCAAGGUUAAGCAGUAAAUGUGGAGCCGUAGCGAAAGCGAGUCUGAAUAGGGCGUUUAGUAUUUGGUCGUAGACCCGAAACCAGGUGAUCUACCCUUGGUCAGGUUGAAGUUCAGGUAACACUGAAUGGAGGACCGAACCGACUUACGUUGAAAAGUGAGCGGAUGAACUGAGGGUAGCGGAGAAAUUCCAAUCGAACCUGGAGAUAGCUGGUUCUCUCCGAAAUAGCUUUAGGGCUAGCCUCAAGUGAUGAUUAUUGGAGGUAGAGCACUGUUUGGACGAGGGGCCCCUCUCGGGUUACCGAAUUCAGACAAACUCCGAAUGCCAAUUAAUUUAACUUGGGAGUCAGAACAUGGGUGAUAAGGUCCGUGUUCGAAAGGGAAACAGCCCAGACCACCAGCUAAGGUCCCAAAAUAUAUGUUAAGUGGAAAAGGAUGUGGCGUUGCCCAGACAACUAGGAUGUUGGCUUAGAAGCAGCCAUCAUUUAAAGAGUGCGUAAUAGCUCACUAGUCGAGUGACACUGCGCCGAAAAUGUACCGGGGCUAAACAUAUUACCGAAGCUGUGGAUUGUCCUUUGGACAAUGGUAGGAGAGCGUUCUAAGGGCGUUGAAGCAUGAUCGUAAGGACAUGUGGAGCGCUUAGAAGUGAGAAUGCCGGUGUGAGUAGCGAAAGACGGGUGAGAAUCCCGUCCACCGAUUGACUAAGGUUUCCAGAGGAAGGCUCGUCCGCUCUGGGUUAGUCGGGUCCUAAGCUGAGGCCGACAGGCGUAGGCGAUGGAUAACAGGUUGAUAUUCCUGUACCACCUAUAAUCGUUUUAAUCGAUGGGGGGACGCAGUAGGAUAGGCGAAGCGUGCGAUUGGAUUGCACGUCUAAGCAGUAAGGCUGAGUAUUAGGCAAAUCCGGUACUCGUUAAGGCUGAGCUGUGAUGGGGAGAAGACAUUGUGUCUUCGAGUCGUUGAUUUCACACUGCCGAGAAAAGCCUCUAGAUAGAAAAUAGGUGCCCGUACCGCAAACCGACACAGGUAGUCAAGAUGAGAAUUCUAAGGUGAGCGAGCGAACUCUCGUUAAGGAACUCGGCAAAAUGACCCCGUAACUUCGGGAGAAGGGGUGCUCUUUAGGGUUAACGCCCAGAAGAGCCGCAGUGAAUAGGCCCAAACGACUGUUUAUCAAAAACACAGGUCUCUGCUAAACCGUAAGGUGAUGUAUAGGGGCUGACGCCUGCCCGGUGCUGGAAGGUUAAGAGGAGUGGUUAGCUUCUGCGAAGCUACGAAUCGAAGCCCCAGUAAACGGCGGCCGUAACUAUAACGGUCCUAAGGUAGCGAAAUUCCUUGUCGGGUAAGUUCCGACCCGCACGAAAGGCGUAACGAUUUGGGCACUGUCUCAACGAGAGACUCGGUGAAAUCAUAGUACCUGUGAAGAUGCAGGUUACCCGCGACAGGACGGAAAGACCCCGUGGAGCUUUACUGUAGCCUGAUAUUGAAAUUCGGCACAGCUUGUACAGGAUAGGUAGGAGCCUUUGAAACGUGAGCGCUAGCUUACGUGGAGGCGCUGGUGGGAUACUACCCUAGCUGUGUUGGCUUUCUAACCCGCACCACUUAUCGUGGUGGGAGACAGUGUCAGGCGGGCAGUUUGACUGGGGCGGUCGCCUCCUAAAAGGUAACGGAGGCGCUCAAAGGUUCCCUCAGAAUGGUUGGAAAUCAUUCAUAGAGUGUAAAGGCAUAAGGGAGCUUGACUGCGAGACCUACAAGUCGAGCAGGGUCGAAAGACGGACUUAGUGAUCCGGUGGUUCCGCAUGGAAGGGCCAUCGCUCAACGGAUAAAAGCUACCCCGGGGAUAACAGGCUUAUCUCCCCCAAGAGUUCACAUCGACGGGGAGGUUUGGCACCUCGAUGUCGGCUCAUCGCAUCCUGGGGCUGUAGUCGGUCCCAAGGGUUGGGCUGUUCGCCCAUUAAAGCGGUACGCGAGCUGGGUUCAGAACGUCGUGAGACAGUUCGGUCCCUAUCCGUCGUGGGCGUAGGAAAUUUGAGAGGAGCUGUCCUUAGUACGAGAGGACCGGGAUGGACAUACCUCUGGUGUACCAGUUGUCGUGCCAACGGCAUAGCUGGGUAGCUAUGUGUGGACGGGAUAAGUGCUGAAAGCAUCUAAGCAUGAAGCCCCCCUCAAGAUGAGAUUUCCCAACUUCGGUUAUAAGAUC